rnacentral:lncRNA from 1 species
GCAGUGAAGAACUUGCUUCUUGAAAGGCAUGUAAAUGGUUUAUGAAGUUCGUUCAGGCAUGGGAAAAUCAAAUUACUCUUAUCCCUUAUUAUUUAUGAAGUAAAUUUGUUAUUAUAGAUAAUGUUUCUUUUUUCUGGUGUAUCUUUAAAUGAUUUCUGUUAAUAAUAGUCAAUAGAUACUUGAAGCUAAAGCUUAAUUAACGGUUGGUUUCAAU